AACCAUAGAAACCUGCGGAGUACCUGCGGAAGGAUCAUUAUUGAAUAAAUCUGACAUGGUUGUAGCUGGCUCUUAGGAGCAUGUGCACACCUGUCACCUUUAUCUUUCCACCUGUGAACCCUUUGUAGUCCCAGGAUAACCUCUCGCGCACUCUGGUGUUGCGGAUGCGAAGGUUGUUGUGCCUCUGGCCAGCUCCCAUCGAAUUUCCUGGGUCUAUGUUUCUUAUACACCCCUGUAUGU
rnacentral:misc_RNA from 1 species